rnacentral:rRNA from 1 species
CAAGCGACUGUUUAUCAAAAACACAGGUCUCUGCAAAAUCGUAAGAUGAAGUAUAGGGGCUGACGCCUGCCCGGUGCUGGAAGGUUAAGAGGAUGGGUUAGCUUCGGCGAAGCUCAGAAUUGAAGCCCCAGUAAACGGCGGCCGUAACUAUAACGGUCCUAAGGUAGCGAAAUUCCUUGUCGGGUAAGUUCCGACCCGCACGAAAGGCGUAACGAUUUGGGCACUGUCUCAACGAGAGACUCGGUGAAAUUUUAGUACCUGUGAAGAUGCAGGUUACCCGCGACAGGACGGAAAGACCCCAUGGAGCUUUACUGUAGUUUGAUAUUGAGUGUUUGUACCACAUGUACAGGAUAGGUAGGAGCCGAUGAGACCGGA